rnacentral:rRNA from 1 species
CCUACGGGUGGCAGCAGUGGGGGAUAUUGGACAAUGGGGGAAACCCUGAUCCAGCGACGCCGCGUGAGUGAAGAAGUAUUUCGGUAUGUAAAGCUCUAUCAGCAGGGAAGAAAGAAAUGACGGUACCUGAGUAAGAAGCCCCGGCUAACUACGUGCCAGCAGCCGCGGUAAUACGUAGGGGGCAAGCGUUAUCCGGAAUUACUGGGUGUAAAGGGGGCGUAGACGGUAAUGCAAGUCUGGAGUGAAAGGCGGGGGCCAAACCCCCGGACUGCUCUGGAAACGGGGAAACGGGAGUGCAGGAGAGGCAGCCGGAAUUCUGAGGGGAGCGGUGAAAUGGGUAGAUAUUAGGAGGAACACCGGGGGCGAAUGCGCCCUGUGGGACUGUAACUGACGUUGAGCCUCGAAAGCGUGGGAGCAAACAGGAUUAGAUACCCUUGUAGUC